AGGAAUGAGGCCUGGGCCAGCUAAGCCAGCCUCCACCCAAGGCCGGCCUUCCACUUUCUACUUACAGGUAGUGACCAGCAAUUAGCCAGUUCCUGGCCUCGGCAUCCUGCUGCACCCAGAACAGAGCCCCUCCUUAGUGCACGCCCUGCAGAAUACCUGCCAAGCUUGCUAUACCCAGCCUGUCCCAGGCCUCACCCCCAUUUAGACCAAUACAGCCAGCAGGUAGGGAGCUAUAAAGGAGUCAGGAGUAUUGAUUGCGCACCUUAUCCAAGCCAGGCUCCUUAAUCUCACAGCUGGCCCAGCCUCUAGCUGCUGACUCAGUCUCCGGCACAAUCCUCCACACCUGUAUCAGCCCUGAGAAGUUUCGGAAACUCCAGCACCAGCUCUGGCGAAAAGAUCUCCAUGGUCCAAGGGCAGGGCCAGUGUUUUCCAACGCACCUUCUCAUUUGUUUCUCACACCCUCAGCUAUUGCCCCCAUUGACAAACAAGGAAACAACCUGCCACUCGUUCAACAGGUCUUAGGAGCACAGUGAGAGGCUGUGUGUGGAGAAUAAAAACAGGUGCUCUCCCGCUGGGAAAGAGCUGGGGGGGGGGCAAGGACAGUUGACUUCAACGUCCUCACUUACCAACUCUGUGUCCUGGGCGACCUCCUGGACCUCUCUGAGGUCAUUUCCUCUCUGGCAGGACAGGCCUGAUAGUCACACCGCAGCGGGCCAUGGUCAGGAUUCAGUGAGCUCACCAGGCCUGGCUCUGGCUGGAGCUCCAGAGCAGUGGCUUCUGUGACAAAGAACAAAGCCCCCGCGCAGCAGGGGUAAGGGGAGGUGGGAAAGACAGGAGUGGGAAGCAGGGAGAAGGGGGUCUUGAGCGCUGAGGGGUCGUGCUGGGAGCGGGCUCUGGCAAUGCGGGCACAAGGGCCGGGGUGGGGUCAGGCUACCCGGACGCCCGCUCCCUAGAUUCUGCUGAUGGGUUGAGUCUCGCGUCAGACCGCUGUUGGCAGCAAGAGUCUGGGUCGCGGAUGUCAGGGCCCCUGCCCCCUCCUUUGUCUACCAGUCCCAGGGUUGGGUCAGUGCGCCCCGUCCCCGGUGAGCCCCACCCCAGGCCAAGGGGCUUCAGGUGACAGCGCCGCCUCGUGGCGGCCCCGAGCCACUACUGCUCCGAACGCGGGUCACGCCUCACCCCAGUCCCUUCCCCCUGGCCGCAGGCGAUGGAAAUGCAGCCCUGGCGCGAGCAGGUUGGAGGAGUGGGUGCCUGGGUGUCGCGGUCCCCCGAGUGCACCCUUGUUUCCUGUCAUUUAAUUUUCUCUCCUGAAAGCGUUGGUAAUUAAAUCCUUUGUGCGCGAGCCGUCGCACCCCGCCCCUGCUGCUCUGUGUAUUAAUUUCCCUGCACGGACAAGGGUUUCUGGACCUCGGCUGCCGGCGCCCUCGCCCUCGGACUCCCCAGCUCGGCUCCCUUGCUCUCCUGGCACCUGGACGGUCAGCGCCCAGCUCCCACCUGCGGAGCUCGGCACCACCCUGGCCUCAAAGGGAAGGACUGUCAUGGGAGCCCAUUCCGCCAGCCAUCCGGCUCACGGGAGCCUGGACUCUCCCAGUGUCAUGAACGAGCUUGUGCAGAUGUUCCUCCCCUCGGACCUCUCCAUUUGAGGCUUGUUUAUGUGUCGUCUCAUUUCCACGGGGGGGAGGGGUGCUUCUGGCCCCCGCGCAGCUCACCUUCUCUGCCCUAGGAGCGUGGAAUGGCGGUGGGGGAGCCUCUUCCAGGGCCCUGGGAUUGGCUCACCCUCUCUGCCCUAGGAGCCGGACCUCUCCAUUUUAAAGUGUCCAGCGAGUGAGUGUGGAGAUCCCUAGCAGCGCCUGGUCCUCUCCAGCAGCACCCUGACGUUGCCUGUUCAUACACAGUCCAGAAAGAGCCAGGUGUCAUUCCUGAACCCUGGAAAGGGCCCCCAGAAUGGACCGUUCUCACUUGUGCACACUGCUCCUCCCAGAGCAACUUGUUUGCCAUUCCCAGUCUGGGCAGUACGCAGCACAACC
rnacentral:lncRNA from 1 species